rnacentral:rRNA from 1 species
UACGUAGGGGGCAAGCGUUGUCCGGAUUCAUUGGGCGUAAAGAGCGUGUAGGCGGCCAGGUAGGUCGGUUGUGAAAACUGGAGGCUCAACCUUCAGACGUCGACCGAAACCAUCUGGCUAGAGUCCGGGAGAGGAGAGUGGAAUUCCUGGUGUAGCGGUGAAAUGCGCAGAUAUCAGGAAGAACACCUGUGGUGUAGACGGCUCUCUGGACCGCAACUGACGCUGAGACACGAAAGCGUGGGUAGCAAACAGG